rnacentral:rRNA from 1 species
CCUACGGGGGGCAGCAGUGAGGAAUAUUGGUCAAUGGGCGCGAGCCUGAACCAGCCAAGUCGCGUGAGGGAGGACGGCCCUACGGGUUGUAAACCUCUUUUGCCGGGGAGCAACGGGCGUCACGUGUGGCGCCACUGAGAGUACCCGGAGAUAAAGCUUCGGCUAACUCCGUGCCAGCAGCCGCGGUAAUACGGAGGAUGCGAGCGUUAUCCGGAUUUAUUGGUUUUAAGGGGUGCGUGGGCGGAUCGUUAAGUCAGUGGUCAAAUUGAGGGGCUCAACCCCUUCCCGCCAUUGAAACUGGCGUUCUUGAGUGGAAGAGAAGUAGGCGGAAUGCGUGGUGUAGCGGUGAAAUGCAUAGAUAUCACGCAGAACCCCGAUUGCGAAGGCAGCAUGCCGGCUUCCGACUGACGCUGAAGCACGAAAGCGUGGGGAUCGAACAGGAUUAGAUACCCGAGUAGUC